AAAUCCUCAAGACUUCUGUUUGAGAGUGACGGACUCGGCUUCGGCUAGGUCUUUCCGUUUGAGCAGUAGUCUUGGAAAAUGGACUGUUGAUUGUUUCUUAGGGAACAAAAUCAUAGUCUUAAGGUAAGCCUCGAAGCCUUCCUUUGCUAUGGACAGGAUUUCAGAUGCAUGAACGGUGUUUCACUGCGUAAUACAUCUGUGAUCGGUUCUGGUGCAUUGAAAGCUGUUUCGAUCCCACUUAAAUUUCGGGAGAAGGAUGUUUCGACAUCGUAUAUCCUUGAAC
rnacentral:misc_RNA from 1 species